GAUGAACGCCGGCGGCGUGCCUAAUACAUGCAAGUCGAGCGAACAGACAAGGAGCUUGCUCCUUUGACGUUAGCGGCGGACGGGUGAGUAACACGUGGGUAACCUGCCUAUAAGACUGGGAUAACUUCGGGAAACCGGAGCUAAUACCGGAUAAUAUUUCGAAACGCAUGGUUCGAUAGUGAAAGAUGGUUUUGCUAUCACUUAUAUAUGGACCCGCGCCGUAUUAGCUAGUUGGUAAGGUAACGGCUUACCAAGGCGACGAUACGUAGCCGGCCUGAGAGGGUGAUCGGCCACACUGGAACUGAGACACGGUCCAGACUCCUACGGGAGGCAGCAGUAGGGAAUCUUCCGCAAUGGGCGAAAGCCUGACGGAGCAACGCCGCGUGAGUGAUGAAGGUCUUCGGAUCGUAAAACUCUGUUAUUAGGGAAGAACAUACGUGUAAGUAACUAUGCACGUCUUGACGGUACCUAAUCAGAAAGCCACGGCUAACUACGUGCCAGCCGCCGCGGUAAAAC
rnacentral:rRNA from 1 species